rnacentral:lncRNA from 1 species
GUUUUAAUGCUUUCACAUCCUGCAAUUUAAUUUUGAUGCUAUGCUCAUAUGCUCAUUUUGCUAAUGCCCUGAUGAGUUUGCAUUUAUUAUUGAUUUUUGAUGUUUUUCUAAUUUCUCCCUGAGGUUUCUCAUAUUCACUGCUAUAUAUUAUUCUAUUCUGUUUGGGCAUCAUUAUUGUAUAUGGAUAUUGUAUAUACUCCUGUUUGAUUUACACUAUUGUAUUUUUCUUUCUCAUUAUAAAGUAUGCUAAAAAUAGUUGCAUUUCAUUUGACUACAUACUUAUCCCUAAUUCUUUUUUUGAAUUUUUUUUAUCAUAUAUUUGGAACUUAUGGCAUGCAGUAUCAGCACAUAUUCAUUGCUUGGGACAGUAUGGGAUCUGUGGAAUAUCAUGCAGAAUUUUUAUUUCUUUUUAUCAUCAUUUAUAUUUUUCUUCUCAAUUUAAGUAUUAUAUUGCGUAUCUUUUAUUGUAACUGAUUAUAUUUUUUUAUUGUCAUAUUACCUGAUUUAUAUUGUUA